rnacentral:rRNA from 1 species
GAUGAACGCUGGCGGCGUGCCUAAUACAUGCAAGUAGAACGCUGAAGGAGGAGCUUGCUCUUCUGGAUGAGUUGCGAACGGGUGAGUAACGCGUAGGUAACCUGCCUGGUAGCGGGGGAUAACUAUUGGAAACGAUAGCUAAUACCGCAUGACAACAGUUAUUGCAUGAUAACUGUUUAAAAGGGGCAACUGCUCCACUACCAGAUGGACCUGCGUUGUAUUAGCUAGUUGGUGAGGUAACGGCUCACCAAGGCGACGAUACAUAGCCGACCUGAGAGGGUGAUCGGCCACACUGGGACUGAGACACGGCCCAGACUCCUACGGGAGGCAGCAGUAGGGAAUCUUCGGCAAUGGACGGAAGUCUGACCGAGCAACGCCGCGGGAGUGAAGAAGGUUGUCGGAUCGUAAAGCUCUGUUGUAAGAGAAGAACGAGUGUGAGAGUGGAAAGUUCACACUGUGACGGUAUCUUACCAGAAAGGGACGGCUAACUACGUG